UGUGUGACACUUCACUUCUUCACUGGUCUUCUUUAGACUUUGCUUUGUAGAGAGAAAUGCAUCAAAGAACCUCUUGUGGUAUUCUGGCUGAUUCUGGCCACUUCUACUGACUCAUCCUGAUUCAGCUAAGCCUUGCUGUUUAUGUUGGACUGAGUCACCACUACUGAUUUGUGUUUGGUGUUUGCUACUGAACUGGACUGCUGGUAUCCUGACAACAAAGAGUGGAACUGCCUCAAUGAACUACUAAACAGCAAGAGAUGUAAGAGUGGGCAUCCACUCAGGCAAGACCAUCUGUGCGGUGCAAUGGGCAGCUGCAAGCUGUGUAACUGAGGAAUUCCUAGAUGUCCUGAAAUUCCCAACCUGGUAAUGAAAAGCAGCUCCCACAGACUGCAUCAAGCAGCAGAUGAGAUGACCACGAUGGCUCUUUGAAAGCAGGAACCCAGGCCGAGUGCAGAGUCAAAAGCUGGCGCCAUACAAUACUUCUGGAUGGGUAUCUAUGUCUGAUGGACUCGAUGCUCUCUGAAGCAGCAAAGACCACCAAACAGAAUAGAGUCAACAGUCUACACAGCGCUUCUCAGCCUUCCUGAUGCUGAGACCCUUUAAUGCAGUUCCUCAUGUUGUGGUGACCCAACCAUAAAAUUAUUGUUGCUGUUGCUUCACAACUGUAAUGCUGCUGCUGUGAUGAAUAUAAUGUAAAGUCCUGACAUGUCACCGCCGCACAGGCUGAGAACCACGCGUGUGAGCUCCCUAUAAGAGCUGAACUGGCCCCACUAGUAAUACAGAUUCACCUGGCA
rnacentral:lncRNA from 7 species